GUUAACAGUCUGGGGAAUGAGUCCUGUAUUUAUUAACAGAAUAAUCACAACAUGGACAAUGAAAGCGCAAUUGAAAUGUGUGUACUGCCUCAUCAAUAAAGCCCCAGCUCUGACCUGGAGAUAUCAGCUCUAAUGAGGGGGUAGUUCAGUCUCCAUGCUCACUCAUUCCUUGUCUUCU
rnacentral:sRNA from 1 species